GAGGGUAUAGCUCAGUGGUAGAGCAUGUGCCUAGCAUGCAUGAGGUCCUGUACCUCCA
rnacentral:tRNA from 1 species